rnacentral:rRNA from 1 species
GACGAACGCUGGCGGCGUGCUUAACACAUGCAAGUCGAACGGAAAGGCCCCUUUGGGGGUACUCGAGUGGCGAACGGGUGAGUAACACGUGAGUAACCUGCCCUUGACAUCGGGAUAACUUCAGGAAACUGGGGCUAAUACCGGAUAGGAAUCCUUGCUGCAUGGUGGGGGUUGGAAAGCUUCGGCGGUUUUGGAUGGACUCGCGGCUUAUCAGCUUGUUGGUGGGGUAGUGGCUUACCAAGGCUUUGACGGGUAGCCGGCCUGAGAGGGCGACCGGCCACAUUGGGACUGAGAUACGGCCCAGACUCCUACGGGAGGCAGCAGUGGGGAAUAUUGCACAAUGGGCGGAAGCCUGAUGCAGCAACGCCGCGUGCGGGAUGACGGCCUUCGGGUUGGAAACCGCUUUCAGCAGGGGCGAAGCUUGUGGUGACGGUACCUGCAGAAGAAGCACCGGCUAACUACGUG